UACGUAGGGGGCAAGCGUUGUCCGGAAUCAUUGGGCGUAAAGCGCGUGUAGGCGGCUGGGUAAGUCCGCUCUGAAAGCCCGGGGCUCAACCCCGGGAGGCGGGUGGAUACUGCUCAGCUCGAGUCCGGAAGAGGAGUGUGGAAUUCCUGGUGUAGCGGUGAAAUGCGCAGAUAUCAGGAGGAACACCAAUGGCGAAGGCAGCACUCUGGGACGGUACUGACGGCUGAGACGCGGAAAAGCCGUGGGGAGCAAACAGG
rnacentral:rRNA from 1 species